rnacentral:rRNA from 1 species
UCCUACGGGGGGCUGCAGUGGGGAAUAUUGCACAAUGGGCGCAAGCCUGAUGCAGCAACGCCGCGUGAGGGAUGACGGCCUUCGGGUUGUAAACCUCUUUUAGCAGGGAAGAAGCGAAAGUGACGGUACCUGCAGAAAAAGCGCCGGCUAACUACGUGCCAGCAGCCGCGGUAAUACGUAGGGCGCAAGCGUUAUCCGGAAUUAUUGGGCGUAAAGAGCUCGUAGGCGGUUUGUCGCGUCUGCUGUGAAAUCCCGAGGCUCAACCUCGGGUCUGCAGUGGGUACGGGCAGACUAGAGUGCGGUAGGGGAGAUUGGAAUUCCUGGUGUAGCGGUGGAAUGCGCAGAUAUCAGGAGGAACACCGAUGGCGAAGGCAGAUCUCUGGGCCGUAACUGACGCUGAGGAGCGAAAGGGUGGGGAGCAAACAGGAUUAGAUACCCUAGUAGUC